GGUGGCUUAGUGGUAGAGUUCUUGCCUUGCAUGCAUGAGGCCCUGGGUUUGAUUCCUCAGCACCA
rnacentral:tRNA from 1 species